GAUGAACGCUGGCGGCGUGCCUAAUACAUGCAAGUCGAGCGAAUGGAUUAAGAGCUUGCUCUUAUGAAGUUAGCGGCGGACGGGUGAGUAACACGUGGGUAACCUGCCCAUAAGACUGGGAUAACUCCGGGAAACCGGGGCUAAUACCGGAUAACAUUUUGAACCGCAUGGUUCGAAAUUGAAAGGCGGCUUCGGCUGUCACUUAUGGAUGGACCCGCGUCGCAGUAGCUAGGUGGUGAGGUAAAGUCUCACCAAGGCAACGAUGCGUAGCCGCCCUGAGAGGGUGAUCCGCCACACUGAGACUGCGACGCGGCCCAGACGCCUACGGGAGGCAGCAGUAGGGAAUCUGCCGCAAUGGACGAAAGUCUGACGGAGCAACGCCGCGUGAGUGAUGAAGGCUUUCGGGUCGUAAAACUCUGUUGUUAGGGAAGAACAAGUGCUAGUUGAAUAAGCUGGCACCUUGACGGUACCUAACCAGAAAGCCACGGCUAACUACGUGCCAGCAGCCGCAGUAA
rnacentral:rRNA from 1 species